rnacentral:snRNA from 1 species
AUACUUACCUGGAGCCGGGGCUCGAUGAUCUCCGAGGACGAGCCCCCAGGGCGGCGCACGCGCUCGCGUUCACCCCUGCCACUGCCCCAAACUGGGGCAGAUGGGGCAUACAAAUUGCUUAAAUACGGUUCAAGCGAAGAGAUGGCGCCACCGCC